UACGUAGGGUGCAAGCGUUAAUCGGAAUUACUGGGCGUAAAGCGUGCGCAGGCGGUUUCGUAAGUCUGUCGUGAAAUCCCCGGGCUUAACCUGGGAAUGGCGAUGGAGACUGCGAGGCUAGAGUUUGGCAGAGGGGGGUAGAAUUCCACGUGUAGCAGUGAAAUGCGUAGAGAUGUGGAGGAACACCGAUGGCGAAGGCAGCCUCCUGGGCCGACACUGACGCUCAUGCACGAAAGCGUGGGGAGCAAACAGG
rnacentral:rRNA from 1 species